rnacentral:rRNA from 1 species
UGGGGAAUCUUGCGCAAUGGGGGAAACCCUGACGCAGCGACGCCGCGUGCGGGAUGAAGGCCUUCGGGUUGUAAACCGCUUUCAGCAGGGACGAGGCCUUAUGGUGACGGUACCUGCAGAAGAAGCUCCGGCUAAAUACGUGCCAGCAGCCGCGGUAAUACGUAUGGAGCAAGCGUUAUCCGGAUUCAUUGGGCGUAAAGCGCUCGUAGGCGGUCUGUUAGGUCGGCAAGUUAAAUCCGGGGGCUCAACCCCCGUCCGCUUCCGAUACCGGCAGACUUGAGUUUGGUAGGGGAAGGUGGAAUUCCUAGUGUAGCGGUGGAAUGCGCAGAUAUUAGGAAGAACACCGGUGGCGAAGGCGGACUUCUGGGCCAUAACUGACGCUGAGGAGCGAACGCUAGGGGAGCGAACAGG